rnacentral:rRNA from 1 species
AGUAAAAGUCGUAACAAGGUCUCCGUAGGUGAACCUGCGGAGGGAUCAUUACAAGUGACCCCGGUCUAACCACCGGGAUGUUCAUAACCCUUUGUUGUCCGACUCUGUUGCCUCCGGGGCGACCCUGCCUUCGGGCGGGGGCUCCGGGUGGACACUUCAAACUCUUGCGUAACUUUGCAGUCUGAGUAAACUUAAUUAAUAAAUUAAAACUUUUAACAACGGAUCUCUUGGUUCUGGCAUCGAUGAAGAACGCAGCGAAAUGCGAUAAGUAAUGUGAAUUGCAGAAUUCAGUGAAUCAUCGAAUCUUUGAACGCACAUUGCGCCCCCUGGUAUUCCGGGGGGCAUGCCUGUUCGAGCGUCAUUUCACCACUCAAGCCUCGCUUGGUAUUGGGCAACGCGGUCCGCCGCGUGCCUCAAAUCGACCGGCUGGGUCUUCUGUCCCCUAAGCGUUGUGGAAACUAUUCGCUAAAGGGUGUUCGGGAGGCUACGCCGUAAAACAACCCCAUUUCUAAGGUUGACCUCGGAUCAGGUAGGGAUACCCGCUGAACUUAAGCAUAUCAAUAAGCGGAGGAAAAGAAACCAACAGGGAUUGCCCCAGUAACG